rnacentral:rRNA from 1 species
CUAAGAAUAUUCCGCAAUGGACGAAAGUCUGACGGAGCGACGCCGCGUGGAUGAAGAAGGCCGCAAGGUUGUAAAAUCCUUUUGCUGGGGAAGAAUAAGUCCAGGAGGGAAUGCCUGGAUGAUGACAUGAACCGGCGAAUAAGCCCCGGCCAACUACGUGCCAGCAGCCGCGGUAACACGUAGGGGGCAAGCGUUGUUCGGAAUUACUGGGCGUAAAGGGCAUGUAGGCGGUUUAGUAAGCUUGGCGUGAAAGACCACGGCUUAACUGUGGGGUUGCGUUGAGAACUGCUGAACUUGAGUUACGGAGAGGGAGCUAGAAUUCCUGGUGUAGGGGUGGAAUCUGUAGAGAUCAGGAAGAAUACCAAUGGCGAAGGCAAGCUCCUGGCCGAUGACUGACGCUGAGGUGCGAAAGUGUGGGGAUCAAACA